CGUGUAGGCGGUUUCGUAAGUCGGAUGUGAAAGCUCCUGGCUCAACUGGGAGAGGCCAUUCGAUACUGCGGGACUUAAGGACGGGAGAGGGACGUGGAAUUCCCGGUGUAGUGGUGGAAUGCGUAGAUAUCGGGAGGAACACCAGUGGCGAAGGCGACGUCCUGGCCCGCACCUGACGCUAAGACGCGAAAGCGUGGGUAGCGAACG
rnacentral:rRNA from 1 species